rnacentral:tRNA from 1 species
GGAGGCAUAGCUCAGUGGUAGAGUGUGUGCUUGGCAUGCACAAGGUCUUGGGUUCAGUCUCCAGUGCCUCUG